UGGGGAAUCUUCCGCAAUGGACGAAAAUCUGACGGAGCAACGCCGCGUGAGUGAAGACGGCCUUCGGGUUGUAAAGCUCUGUGAUCCGGGACGAAAGAGCCUGAGGUAAAUAGCCUAAGGAAGUGACGGUACCGGAAAAGCAAGCCACGGCUAACUACGUGCCAGCAGCCGCGGUAAUACGUAGGUGGCAAGCGUUGUCCGGAAUUAUUGGGCGUAAAGCGCGCGCAGGCGGCUUACUAAGUCCAUCUUAAAAGUGCGGGGCUUAACCCCGUGAUGGGAUGGAAACUGGAAAGCUGGAGUAUCGGAGAGGAAAGUGGAAUUCCUAGUGUAGCGGUGAAAUGCGUAGAGAUUAGGAAGAACACCGGUGGCGAAGGCGACUUUCUGGACGAAAACUGACGCUGAGGCGCGAAAGCGUGGGGAGCAAACAGG
rnacentral:rRNA from 1 species